UGAAGAUGACCUGCUUUGCAGAUGUGCUUCUCCUUCUCCUUGCUGCUGUUGUCCAGUGGGUUUGGGAUUCAUCUGAGUUCCCUUAACAAAAGCGUUGGUGCAUUCAAGCUUUUAGGAUAUAUCUCUGGUCCUGAUGUUUACACAGUGAAGACAGUGAAGAUUUGAAGGUUUUCAUCCAUCGAUGUUCAAUCAAACAUGUUACCUGUUGAGCUAAAGAACUGUUGAUUGGCACGGUGAUUCAGCCAUGCUGGGUUUCAAACCAUUUAUGCGGGAGCUUUUCUAUUGCACAGAAGCCUGAUUUAUGAUGGAUCAUCUUUUGAUAGUGAUGAAGAUAUUAAGUUUGAAAAAAGUAACUGCAGAAAUAAACAAAAUGGCCUUGAAGAUGAUUUAGAGUGUUGAAUUUGAAGUAGCAGCAACCAUGUCUUAAAUCAUAGGUCUCCUAGAGGCAUGGAAAUGGAAAUAUAUUUUGAGAAACAUCUCCAGGUGUAAAACUCAGAGCAUGCAAGGUUAAAAAAUUUAUCAGGUCAGAAAAAUCUUAUGGAUUCUGUUAAACAGACAGAAAAUUAUGGUAUCUUUUAGUCCAGUCUCCUCUGCCACCAGAUCCUUUGCUCGGGACCAGGUUUCAAGAUGUUAAUCCUUACUUGGGAUUGAAACUUCUCUUAAACAUGAAGUUGUCAGUAUAAGUUUUGAAACGUGGAACAUAAUCUCUUGUACCCAAAUCCUGCAUAGUUUGAUGUAAUUGUUAAUGCUCUUUUUAGAGAGGAUAUGAUGAUAGUUCAGGUACUUUUGAAUUCUAUAAUCUUAAGAAUUACGUGAUCCAUACUUUUGAAUUCCUAAUAAAAAUA